rnacentral:snRNA from 1 species
AGCUUUGCACAGUGGCAGUAUCGUAGCCAAUGAGGUUUAUCCGAGGCGCAGUUAUUGCUAAUUGAAGCUAACAAGAUAUAUGAAACAUAAGUGCCUUUAUGAAGUAUAAUAAAAAUGUGAAAUAUACUUAACAUUAUGUUU